GGAGGGAAAAAAUUGCUUAAGAUUGGAGUAAGUACAGUAUCUGUCUGCCCCCUAGUGUAAGAGUCCUCGCUGCCUAAAAUCCAACUUUAAAAGAAAAGGAGCCCUUAAAGGGAAACGACUUGGGGCUCAUGUAGGCAUAGGAGAAUGAAACUUCUGUACAUUUUAAUCUGAAUAAUUCCUCAGGAUUGAAAAUUAUUUGGCUGUGGCUUGGUUGGACCGCGCUGAGAUCUCGCUGCCUCUACGUUUCCGGAGUCUCUAGUGAAGAGGUGAUUUUUUUUUUUUUGAACUGGGUUUAUGUGCGUCCUCCUCACCCCUCCUCUCUUUUUUCUUUCUGCCUCUGUCGUCUCUCUCGCUGGCUUUUUUUUUUUUUUUUUUAAUGAAGAACCGUUCCAUGAACAUUUUGCACAGAGCACAGAAUUGCUUCUAAAGUCAGUCCGGCGCGGUUGCAAUAGACAGCAAAAAGGUAAACGUUUGCCUGAAAUCCGCACGCCAGCUCCACCACCCCGCCCGAUGGUUCUGUAACAAUCAAGAAUGUGUGGACACCUACCUGUGGGAGGAGGCUUUCAGGGACAUUGUGUCUGGUUCCUGCUGACGCCAGCAUUCUGGAGAUGGACAGCUGUUCAAGGGAAUGAAGAUUCCCCCACAGGACAAGGACUAUUGCCUCCCUGAGUAUCCUAAAAGGUCUCUUGAAACAAACCAAACACUCAGAACUUCUGUGACUGUCAUGGACAGUGUCCUGUUACUGGCUUUAAACAGAGCCCCUCAUGCAGAAGAAGCCCUGUAUCCUGGAGUUAGAUGUCAAUCAUCCUGGGAAGGCUCGUCCAAGAACGCAUGCUUAGAAGAAAACUGUUUUAGGCAUCAUCAUCUAUCACGUGGAUGUCUCUGCCCAGUCCUCCCUUUCCACAAUCACCAACAAUGAAGCCCCAACGCGGGGAGUCCCCGAGUAGCCCCCAAUGCACACACCUGCUGCACGACGUGGGAGGAGCUUUUCUGUGGGAGCCGAGGCCACACACAGGUAAUGUGAUCCAUAGUUGUUGUGUGUGUGUGUGACAUGCUAAUGCUUUUGACAGCAACCAUCUGAAAGGGGUGUGGCGAGUCAUUUGAAAUUUGUACACAGACGGCCCUAUCCAUUACGCUCGCCCAUAUCAUACCCAUAAUCUCCGAGGGCGGAGAUGCUGUGACACUCGGCAGGCCAAGAUCGUCUGUGCCUGUGUACACACAACUCCCACCAACUGGGCCGUGGAGAUACUUCAAUGGGAGUUUUCAGCCGCAUAAAUUUAACCCAGUUCAGUCGUGACCGCAGCAGGCCUGGCUAGUCAGAGAGACCUGGCCCCGUGUUUAAAAGGGCUGAAGGCUUUCAAAAAGGCUGCUGGGUUUCAUAAGAAAUUUUAUCCCUGGAGCAUUGAGAACUGUAGUCGGAUACCCAACACCCUCCUUCUCCUUCUCCCACCAUCAGCGGGCCCCAGGCUGGUAUCAGAAGCAGAAACAGAAUGGACAUUAAAAGAAAGUGUAUACCAUGCAAUGAGACCAUACGUAGCAGCCUAGCUUAUUAUGUGAGGGGGGAAACAGCAUUUAUAUGGAACCUUUAUUUACCUAUCAAAUAUAAAGGAACACCUUGGAAGCAGCCACCGUUUUGUUUGUUAGUUUGUUUGAAUCAUAGAACAAAAGCACAAACGCCACAUUGCUUCGAGUGCUAUAGAGUAUACAUACUUUCACCCUGAAAAGAGUCAUAGGGCUUUCCAAUGUGAUUCCUGGGAAGCUUUUUAGGGUCUCAAAUCAUAUUGUCAAAGUGAUCAGACAUUCCUGACCUCAAGCCUUGGUUGCAAUAAUACCAGGAUGUAAUCCUAAGCCCUUGGCAUUGCAACCCUCCAGGCUGUGAACAUUCAAGUCCCAUUUAUUCCUGACCAUUUGAAAGUGGUACUUUGACAAGCAGAGCCUGGGUUUGAAUCCCUGCUUUGUACUCUGAUAAUUAUAUAUCUUGGAGAUGUUGCUUGACAUCUGGAAGCCCUAUUUUUUUUUUCUCAUCUGUAUUCAGAGGCUGACAAUAACUUAUUCAUGGUGGCACUGUGUGGAAGCCCUCAGAGGAAGGGACAUGCUCUGGUGAAUGGCUGCAGGCCACUGUUGAACAUGUGUUGGGAUUCUUAGUAGACAUUCAGCAAAACCUUCCUUCUACAUUUUGAGUUGGUACUCCUCCAGAUCGGUGGAUAAUAAGGAGACGACCCCUUUGAAGAAAUAUUCUAAUUAGCAUCUAGACACAGUGGCACAAACCUGCAAUCUGAGUUCUGGGGAGGCCGAGGCAGGAGCAUCACCUUGAGUAACAGUGAGACCUUGUUACAAAGAAAUAAAAAACUCAAAAAAACAAACAAACAAAAACAACCGGUUUUUGAGUUUGAGGCUAGCCUGGUCUACAAAGUGAGUUUUAGGACCUCCAAGGCUCUUGAACAACAACAGCAAACCAAGCCAACACCUACACAUAGAGCCAAAGAACAAUUAUUAAUUUGAAGUUCACAUGCAACUUUUUUUUUUACCUCUUCAUUUUGGUGAGAUCAAAGCCAGAAAGAAUUCUUUCAAUGUUACAAAACUAAUAGGUUUCACUAUUCUUCGUUUAGUAACGAAAAAUUACCCCUUUUUAGACUUGUUUCUUUCUUCAUUAAAAGCAAACCCAAGCAAACGAAAAGAGAGUUGACAAUAUGCGUACCUCAGUUUGGAAUCACAUGGCAAAAUAAAAAAAAAAAAUUCAUCGCUCUGCAUGACAAUGUCCAAAAGGUACUCUAAACACAUUAAAAAGAAAGAAAAAGAUGUGUUCUUGACUGAGUAAAAGUACAAUGGGUUAAUUCGAAAGAUAUGAAUAAUUCAACAUAGAAUCAUGGGCUUCUUGCAUAGUUUCUUAUGUGAAAGCACUGCUUUAUCACUGUUAAGGAAAACUCAACCCGAGACCUCUCUCCAUAGUUGCAGCCACAUAGUCAUGCAUUUCUUUUAAAGAAGAAAGUAACAGCCAAAAUUGGUAUGUUUGUGGAGAGCACUUGCGGGGGGGGGGGUAGUGGUACAUUUGUGUGUGUGUGUGUGUGUGUGUGUGUGUGUGUGUGUGAGAGAGAGAGAGAGAGAGAGACAGAGAGACAGAGAGAGACAGAGAGACAGAGAGAGACAGAGAGAGAGACAGAGAGACAGAGAGAGACAGAGACAGAGAGACAGAGACAGAGAGAGACAGAGAGAGGGGGGAGGGAGAGAAAGAGAGAAGUGGUUGCAAUAUAACAAUUUAUAUUUGUAUAAUAAAGUCAGAAGAAAUGGGACAAUUUGCGUCUGCAUGACGGCUCAGCAGGAAAAACACCAAACCUCAUGAUGGGGGCUCUAGAAUCCACAUGGCGGAAGGAGAGAACUGACUCCUGCAAAUUGUCCUCUUUCCUUCCCAUGAAUGUGAGGCACGAGUGCCCCUUAUACCCUACACUCACAAAAUGGAUAAAUAAAAUGUGCUUUUUUUUUUAAAGUAAAAGAUUUGCUGCGAACAUAAAUCCAGGAGAUCAAUCGAUCUCUAAAUGGAACAUAAAGUGGAUGCACAGAUAGCGAAACCUAAGCUCAUCCCUGUCAUCUAACCAUCAUCAAGUUUACAGGCUUCACAGGUGAUGCUAAGUUUAGUUUGUAACCAAGUGUUAAAAUACUAAAGUAGAAACCUGUAUUCUAUCUCUCCCCUCAUAUCUAUUCGUUUUAUUUUGCCUCUCAAGUUCUGGCUGAGUUUCAGGUGGGUGUCGCUAGUCUAAGACAAAGUCAUGAGAAAGACAAGGCACCUUCCUGCUUUUUUGUUCAUGUUUUGCCCCACUUUUGGGUAUCCCUUCAUUCUCCCUUGCCUGUGUGGAAUAUCACAGGACUGUACUGGCUGCAUCAAAUCGAUUUAGGACACUAAGCGUUUUCUUAAAAAUUAAAUUUCCCAUGAAAACGUAACAGGACCAGCAACAUUGAAACAGGAUUAUGGGAAAAGUGCCAGAGGUUAAGCUAAAAUUCAGGCUGACCGCUUUGUGUCAGGGAGGAGGGGAAAAGGGUCAGAGAGGAGGGCUGAAAGAGAAAGCAGGGCAGCAGGAGAGGCAUGGAGGAGAGGAGGGACCAAAAUUAGAACAAGAGGCGCUGUUUAUUAAUAACCUUAGUGACCCACAGGCCCCUGACACAAAAUACAUUAAGGAUUCUUGGGACACUCUGGCCUGUCACUCACAGGAGGAGCCAAUAAAAUGGUGCUGGAGACUGCAAGAGUGUUCUGAGACCACAGGAAAAAGUAAAAGAAAUCAGAAUAAGAAGAGGCACGGAGUCAGAAGCAUCAAAAUAUCCUUGUGGUGCUCCAUGAUCCCCUUCCUUCCCCUCCAGCACUCUACUGGAGUCAGUACGUAGCCCAGGCUGGCCUGGAACUUUCAGCAACACUCUUACACAAGACUCACAUUCCUAAAGUUGCAGUAGCAUGCCCGUGUGCCCAGUUUUCCUUGCAUUUCUUGGUUAUUUACCUUGCUUUGUAUAUAAAGUCAUUUCUGUGCACUGAAAGAUUUUUAUAUAUUUAACUUUUGCCUGGCAGUUCUAUGGAGUGAUUUGUUGGUUUAAAAUUGCCUAUGUUUUAAAAAAAUGUAAUUUUGGGUUCAUUAUUAGUAUCUAACAUUAAUAUGUAAUUCCAGUGCUCAGGAGGCUGAGGUAGGAAGAUUGCUCACAAUUCAAGGCCAGCCUGACAGUAAGUCGGUUCCAGGUCUCAAAAAGUCAACCAAUUGAUCAGAUCCAUCUAUCAAUCUUAAGUCUAUUAACCCUUCACUAUCUGAUAUCGGGAACACUGUUCUGAGAAGUUAGCUGUUGACACACUUCUGUGAGUUCACGAAUGCAGACGAUAACUGCCUUCUGCUCUUCUCUCUGGUUUUGGGGCUGACUAGGCUCUGUGGGUCUCAAGGUGGGGUCAUGUGAACCUGCUCUUUCUUCUAGCAUAUUUACAAUGGGACUUUUUCCAUUUGGGAACCAUUUAAGAAUCUCAGUUCUCUGAAGACAGUUCGUUUUUGGUCCUGUGGUAAGAAUUCAUUUAAUAAAAUGAUUUCUCUAAGAGCUGUAUGCUAGUGGCCCUCUUUCUGUGUCUUUAUAUCUUAUCUCCUCAUCUUUCCAUCUUCAUGGUCCCCCAGUGCUUCUCUUUUUGUUAAGUACCCUUCCCCUUUUGGUAAGCUCUUUCUGGCUGAGUAGUUCCCUGGGAGUUGUGACCUUGUGUGCUACUCUUUAAGACUCUGCUAUACUCAAAAUGUGAGAGAAUGCAUUUGUCCAUUUAUGUUAGCAGUCUAAGGUUUCCAGUUUUGAGGUAUUUCAUGCAGAAAUAAACCACAUAUUCUCAUAUUCUCAUUUAUCUUUUUAUAUGACCUAUACAUUUGGAACUACUUCUUCUUCUUCUUCUUCUUCUUCUUCUUCUUCUUCUUCUUCUUCUUCUUCUUCUUCUUCUUCUUCUUCUUCUUCUUCUUCUUCUUCUUCUUCUUCUCCCCCUCCUCCUCCCCCUCCUCUUCUUCCUCCUCCUCCUACUCCUCCUCCCCCCUCCUUCUCUUCUCCUCCUCCUUCUUUUCCUCUUCCUCUUCUUUCCUCUCCUCCUUCUCUUCCACCUUUUCUUCAUAAGAUGAUCUCACAUGCCGUGCUUUCCCACAUGUAAUUUUUCUAUUAUAUUUUACUACUGUUUUCUGGGAAAAUUUAUUUGUUUAUUCAUUUGCCAUUUGACUGGUUCCUUACUUCAAUAAUUAGCUAAUUUUGGUUCUUUUUGAGUUGUCUAGACAGAUAAUAUUACCCAUAGACAAUGAAUUUUCUGUUCCUCCUACUGCCUAAAAAAAUGUAACUUCUUGAUUUUUUUCCCUGUCUUACUUCAAGGCAAGAAACACCAUGCUAUUUAAAGUAUUCCUUAUUGGAAGUGCCUCUAACAUUUUGCUAGUGAGAACGCAAUCCCAAACACAUUGUGCUUUUGGUCAGUUCUGGUGUUGGAUAUCCCGCCCCCAUUUAACUUUAAAUCUCCCUUCCUGAGCCUUCUGCUUGUCAGCCCUCACACUGGAAGCCUCCUGGGACAUUUUUCCAAAUAUUGAAUAAGUGUGACCCCUUUUCUACUUGAGUGUUCCCUGGAUAUACAGACAUCUCCUGCAAGUAUCAUCCCUUCCUCUUCUCAUGCAUGAAUACCCAUUGUCCCCUGGCAGUAGCGGUCUCCUUUAAUUCUCAGACAGCAAAGUUCUGAGCUGCUCUUGUUUUCUUUCAUGUGACAACACCAGGCUAUUUUCUGCCAACUGAAAAGUUAGUGUCUUUGCAUGAGAUUUUUUAUAUUUUCACAUUUUAAGGAAAUGCUAAACUAUUUUUCUCACAUAGAAAUUAUCAUUUCAUUUGAAUUUGCUGACUUUUUGCCAGUGGGAAGUAAAAAUAACCCAGUUUUGCAUAUGCCAAGCAAAAAGAAUUGGUUACAUGGGUUUAGGUUGGUUAAAACAAUAACCGAGAAGAGGCUGAGGGAGGGAAAAGCCUCCUACACCAUCAGCGUCUGACAAAGCUGGGGUACCUAUCUCAGGGCAGGCUGGUGGAUGCCUCCUGAGUGGGUGGGGGCCUAAUGAUGGGGGUUCCUUGAGCAUGUCACGGUGUCACUCUCUGCCUGCAUAUCUUCACCUACAAAUUGUGAGAUAAUGCAGGAACUCCAAUUAAGCGUUUAGUUUGACACAUGUCACCCAGCACACACUUACUACAGUGACUGUUAGGACUAUUGAAUUUGAAGGCAGAAACGUGGAUGGUAUUUUAGUCAACAAAUAGAAAGUGAAGCUCCUUCUCCACCAUGACUCCUCCCUUCAUAGAGCCAAUUCCUCAGAUAUUCAAGAGUUUUACGAUUUAGGCAAUAGAAAGAGAAGUAGUGGCAGUUCAGGUUAAACUUCUACCCAACGUAGAAGGAACAGGUAGUUUUAUCCUUUCUCUACUGCCUGUCAGGUUCCCUUGGACCUAACUUGUUGUUUCACACUACCAGGACAAGCCGUUUUUUGCUCAUGAAGACCCAGCUUUUCUCCAAGGAAGACAUUUUGAUACUGGCGGUCUAUUAAAUCACUGUGCUCAUGUGCUCAGAGUUUAAGAAACUUGUCAGCAUGUCUUAAUUUCUCCAAUUUGUUUGCCCAGGGAAACACCCCUAUUAGUAUGAAACUUAGACCCUGAGAAAGGAUAUGAACUUUUUUCUGUCUUUCCCUACACAAAGACUGAAAUCUACUUUAAAAAAAUAUGGUGGGAGGUAACUGUAUUAUUAUUGUUUAAAAUUAAUUAUCCUUUGCUCCAUAUUUUACCUUGUUUAUUUUAUCUGUCCAGCUUUCCCGGAGGGGCAGACUCGAGGCCCCCAUUUGGUUUUUAUUAGUGUAAUCAGUUAAUAGCUGUUCUAUAACGCUUUACUUAUUGUGUUAAUUUUCUCUAGUUAUGUCCAGAGGCAGUUUCCUGGAAGACCACAUUAAAAAAAACAAAACAAAACAAAACAACCCCAAAAUCCCCCUAGCUUCUUCUUUAAUGGCUUUGGUUACCACUUACAGCCUCAGCUUGGUCCACCAAGGUACUGAAAAUACAUCUAAACUGUGGCUAGUAUUUUAAAUGUAUAUCUGUGUAUAAAUGUAUGAAUGUGUAGCCUAUGUCAACCCUAAUGUCUGCAGAGACAUCAGUACAAUCUAUCAGCUCCUUGAACUCACUCAGUUACAUGCAAAUCCUUUUCACAGCUGGGGCCUGGGACAAGAGUGUCCACUGCCACUUAGAGGUUUUCAUGGGAAUGUACCCCAUGUGAGUUUUGAUGUUUACAGGACUAGUCCUUGAAUAUAAAUGAGCUUCAUAGCAGGCUACAUUGACAAACUUCCCUGUGUGCAAUAGAUUAUACCCUCCCAUGGCUUACAUCCUGAAUUAGAUAGAAAUCAUCUUCAGAGUUAACACCACGCAUUAGGAGCAGGCUGGACCAGCUCUCUGGAUGGCAAGGAUCUCAGCUGAGUACCUUCACUGCCUCUGGUUCUGUUUGCUCUUUGUAGUGGCCCUUGGGAAAGAAUCCUUUGCAGAUGAUGGGUCUACAUCACACGCUUAUGGUUUGCUGUUCAGUCUCUGGCAAUGAUCAGGGGUCCACACAAAACAAGUUUUCAUUAAGGCUUUAAAGAAGUCUUUAUGUGACGUGCUGGCUAUGAAAACUGACCCAUGUUUUAUUCCUAUUUUGGAACAUUUGUACGCACAUAAUGAUCUGUGUUCCGGAUGGGACUCGAGUCUAAAGGGAGUUUGGUUUGUUUUUUGUACACCUUGGACCACAUAUUUACCACAGCUGCCUUUCCUUUGUGACUUGCCACAUGAAAUUAAGUGUAGGACUUUUCACCUGUGGCAUCACAUCAGCGCUCAAAACGUUUUGGGGUGUGGAGCAAUCCAGACUUUGGAUUUUGAAUUAUACAGGUCCAGCCUGAAGUAAAUCUGGGCUGAAGUUAAAUACAAAGUAAGAUUCUAGGUUAAGAACUGUGCUGACUAGUUACUUGUUAGUUUGACACAAGCUGUACUCAUCGUGGAAGACAGAGCUUCACUUGGGGGAAACGUCUCCAUCUUAUUCACUUGUCAGCAAGUCUGUAGGGCAUUCUCUUGAUCAAUGAUUGAUGUAGGAGGGCCCAGUCCACUGUGGGUGGUGUCACCUCUAGGCAAGUGGUCCUAGGCUGUACAAAACGCAACCUCAGGGGCUGGAGAGGUAGCUCGGCAGUUUAGUGAAUUUGUUGCUUUUGCAGAGGACCCAGGUUUAACUUCUAUCACUCACAUGGUGGCUCACAGCUUCAGGGCAUCUAGCGCCCUCUACUGAUCUCUUCAGACACCAGGCACAUGCGUGGUGCAUAUACAUACAUGUAGGUAAAGCAGCUAGCCAGUAAGCAGCAUUCCUCCAUAGCCUCUGCUUCAGUUCCUGCCUCCAGGCUCCUGCUCAGAAUUGUCUCAGUGUGUGACUUGGGCACGUAAACCAAAUAAACCUUUUCCUCCCUAAGUUGUUCUGGUCAUGGUGUUUUAUCACAGCAAUAGAAACCUGACCAGAACUGUUGCAAGUAAUGCCUGUGAGAGAAGAGGAACAGAACAUGGGACUAUAAAUGACAGGGAAGAGCUGUAUGCCUGGGCAAGUCACUUCUUUCUCAAUCUUUUUCCUUCCUUUUUCCACAUGAGGACCCUGGGGAAGAACUCCCAAAGAGACUUACUUUUACGGAAGCCUGUGAUCCUUUAAGAAUGACCAACAGUGCAAAUCAAGUCAAAAGACUUAGAUGCUCUCUCCACUACUCCAUCUCCAGCACCUAGAACAGUUGUUAAUUUUUGACAGAGUCGCAGAAUGUGAUGUCUUGCUGUGCACACCCUUCCGAUAACGAGGUGCUGUCAUGAUUUGAAUAUGCUUGUCCGAAGAAGUGGCACUAUUUGGAGGUGUGACCUUAUUGGAGUGGGUGUGUCACCGUGACCAUGGGCUUAAGACCCAUGUCCUAACUUCCUAGAAGUCAGUCUUCCACCAGCAGCCUUCAGAUGAAGAUGUAGAACUCUCAGCAAUGCCUGCCCCAUGCCUGCCUGGAUGCUGCCAUGUUCCUCCCUUGAUGAUAACGAACUGAACCUCUAAACCUGUAAACCAGCCCCAAUUAAAUGUUGUCCUUAUAAGACUUGCCUUGGUCAUGGUGUCUGUUCACAGUGGUAAAACCCUAACAAGACAGGUGCCAUAUGUGGUUUUUCCUCUGCCACAUCUUCCAACGAUGAUGUUAUCUGUCAUUAAAAGCCCAGAGCAAUGAGAUCACCUCAUGGUGGACAGAUAACCACUGUAACUGUAAGCUAAACUAAAAGUUUCUUUCUUAACAGCUAAUUUUCUCAAUAUUUUAAAGAAUUAAGUAAUUAAAUUUUUUUAGAGUAGUGAACAUUGAGUAAUUAUUUUUUUUUUUCUUUUUUACAAUAGUGAAGAGCUGAGCGGCAGGGCCCAUCAGGAUUGGAAGACAGCGUUGGGUGCAUUGCAUCGACUUCAACAAGCUAAAAAUCUAACCAUGAGCUUAAUUGUUUCUUCCAGCCCAGCAUAAAAAGAAAGCAUGACCCUAGACGUGGAGUGAAUGGAGUGUGCAGGUUCCGACGAGUUCACUGCGGCUCCAGUGGGGAUCGGGCAGGCUCCAAGCACUAAAUAACCCUAAUGAUAUCAGGACUGGUCCUGCUUGCUCCAUCUACACACUGUUGGUUAACAGUGGACCCUCUGACUCUCAUGAGGAUGACUGGACAUGUGACAGAAGACCAGGAGUCCGGGAGGCUGCCCUUUCCUGCUUUAACUUUGUUCUGUCAGAAUUGAUAAGAUUUCGAUUUCCAGUUAAAACCCGCCAUCGGGUGUUCAGCAGGACAGUGAAAGAACGCCCGGCACACUGAACCAACAGUCAGAGGUUGAACCUACCAGCAAAGCUGGCUCUGAUGGACAAACGCUUCCUAGGGCUCCUUCCUGAUGCAGCUGCUAUCUGCAGACCUCCUGGACUGCCCUGGGAAGGGAGUGGGAGCUCCUGCCACAGAUGGGCGGAACAUCGGCAAGAAGGGUUAAAAGUGGCCAAAAAUAACAGUGCCUUCCAGAUGAGGUGACCUCAGAGCCAAGAGCAUCAUGGGCUAGUGGCCUGCCAAUCACAGGACAUCAGCAUGCGCAGAGCCCAGCAUCUUCUCCAGGUUCAGCUUUUACAUCUUCCUUUGGAGGGCCUACUCCGAUCUCAGGACCGCAGGUGAGGUGCUAUCUUUGGUAAGCAUUUUCUCCGUCUAGUCACCACUAAAAGCACUUUUCAUCUGGACCUUUAGUCUCUGAAUACCAACCAGGGUGGAAGUCACCUUUAAUCCUCACAGAGGUUGAGUUUCUUUCCUCUUAGUACAAAGCCACAUAUAUCCACUGUGGAGAAUUUAGAACACACAGAAAAGCAAAAUUAUAUUUGUGUGCACCAUGACUACCCUUUGAUGUGGGCCCUGCUCGAUAUGAUGAUUUUUAUAGACAAAACCCAGCCACACUUAGAUGGGAAAUACUUUCUUCUGAGCUGCUUGCUGGCUGGUAGAACCAGUUCCAUGGAAUGUCAGUGCCAGGCCCCAGCUGAUUGGCAUAGGGCUGGCUAUCGCCCUGGUUGGGCAUGUAUCUGCUCUUUCUUUCAGAUUCAAUCAGAUAGUGUCUGAGACUGGACCUAUAAUAUCUCACUGAGGUAGGAUUAGUCACUGUGCCUGGAAACUUAGCGCUUUGCUGGGGAAGGUGGUUUGUAGGAGAGAAUAGGGGAGACUGUGAGACACUGAGGGAAAGUCAGAGUUAAAGGAAGCAGAACACCACACACCUGGUCCCAGUGUUCUCCGUGACUUUUCUCAGGUGGCCUUGCCUCCGGAUCUUGACUCUGUCCUUGAGCAGUGUCUCUGAGAUGCCGGUACCUGCAUCUAACCAUGCCUGCCCAAGAGGAUUGCUUUUUGUAAACUCCCUUUGCAAUGAAUAAUAGACUUUCUCUGUGUAUCAUCUGAUCAUCCAGAUUAUAAUUUUCAAUAUGGUAGGUCAAGUGCUGUGGGGGGAGGGGCACUGCAGCUAAUGUGAGCAGCUUGAGCUCUGGUUUGGAAUAACACUGAGUUCACAGGCCCUUCCUCAUCUCCUUUGCUGUGUGAUUCAGUCAGCCGAUGAACACUAUUUAUCUCAGUAUUUUCAUCUGUAAAAUGGAAAAUCUCAAGAAAUCUUAGAGUUCCUAGACUUAAACUUGCAGUAUAGCAGAGGGUGACCUUACAUUCCUGACUCUCUUGCCCUCAUGUCCACGACGUGCUGGGUGAUCUGACCUGGUGCUGUUGUUAACAAUCACAAACGGUUCUCUGUCAACAGUCUUCCUAGUUUUAAAACACGACAGUAAGAAUUCUUUCAGAGCUGAGCCUUUAGGCAUUGGUACUCCUUGGGCUGAGUGACCCCCACCCUGAAACACUGGACCAGAGAUCAUGAGCAUGAAAAAUGCCUAAGUGUGGUUCCCGCAUCACUGCUGCCUGUGGAGUGUCUGCUACCCAAGUCUCUGCCAUCCUUAUCCCUGCCCUUUCUGUGGCUUUGGAGAAAGUGCAUUUCCUUCCAUGUCUGCGGUGUGAUCUAUACUCAACUUCCAACGAAACAAAGACUGUCACAUCUGACCUCCGGAGCUCUUUCAGGUGAGAUUUAAAACCACUCAGCUAUGCCACUUUCCUGUCAGUUAGGCUCAGCGAUAAGACAGGGCCUAUGGGUUUGAUUUCCAGGUUGCCAACCACAUUGGGCGCUUUGCAACUCUAGUGUGGAAAGUUCCAGAUGGCUCUAACGAAGUCAGAUAUUGGUUGACUUUUAACCAUACCGAUAAGCUGUUUAGAUUUUAUUACGUGUUCUGAGAAAUAGGAUCGUUCAGAAUGUGAACACUUUUAUUCUAUGCUGUGUCUGGAGUCACCUGCAGACCUCACAGCUUGGGAGAACGUGGGUGUGGGACUUAGUGAGCUACUUUUAUUUAUUUUCUUAGGUUUAGUUUUUAAAAAGACAACAUCUCAUUGUGCAGCCUGGAAUUUGUCGCACAUUUCAGGCUGGUCUUGAACUCUUGGAGAUCUGCCUGCCUCUGCCAAUCAGUGCUGGGACUAAGGGUGUGCACCACCACUCCUGGCUUGUGGCCUGCUUUUCGAGGUCCACAUUAUGCUGUGCACUCAGGGGAAGGAAAAGACUACCCACGUGACCCUCGUCCUUAAGGACCAGAAUGUAUUGGGGAAAUGGAUAUAUGGUCAACUAUAAGGGAAAGGAAUCCUAUCAGGAUGGGGCCGUGCAUCUUUGAGAAAGUCCAGAAUCAAGUAUUUCAAGAGUCAAGGUCUAUAAAUUUAGUCAUCCAGUCCUUUAAAUUUUUUAUUUGGCUCAAAGUGAUAGAAUUCCGGUUGGUCUUUUUGUCUGCUUGCUUGAUUGCUUUGUUAACGUCCAACAAGGAUCACCAGGAAAUAUUUAGGCAAAGAUUUUUGUCUUUGGAAACAUGAAGGAAUUGGCAAUAUUGAGAUGCAGUCUAAUAGGUAGUAGGCAGAGGGAGUUUCAGUAGCAAAGAGAGGUUAGUGUUUUAGUUCAUAAAGGAGUUUUUCAUUGUUGUUGUCUUAAACCAUUGACAUACCUUGAAUAAGGCCUGUUGUCUGAGGCCUUAUUCAUUUCUGCUAGCUAUAUGUGAGAUGCAGCCAGAGCUUAGGGGAGAAGACCUUGUUCUCUUACAAGGUGUCAGGGAAGGCUUAGCAGAUUCUGCCAGAGAGAGGGCAGGUAGGAUGAGAAGGAAUUUGAAAAUGAUGGGGUUAAAUACAGAAGGGCCUUCGAACAACGGGAAAGAGACUAAGACUGCAUAGAUGUGUACUGUAUGACUCAGAGAAUGACAGCUAUGGAUCUUUCUUGAGACUUGUGUUCUACACAUCUGUGGGCAGGAACUGGCGAAAGCCGGACCUACAGCAAUAUAAGGGAGAAGAUGCAGGUGGGAGGAAUGGCUGAAGAGAUUGUCCGUAACCAUCACAGGAUAAAGCUGGAAGAGAGUCCCAGGCUUUGUUAACUACAAAACUGACAACCCUACUGUUAGGAUGCUGUGCUUACAAGGGCUUCAGAACAGUUCCCAAGGCACAUUUGAAGCAUCAUUGGGACUCACUGUAGGGAUGCUGGGAGAGCAGAGUGGUUAGAGACAAGUGCCCUGGCCAUGGGAGAGCAGAGUGGUUAGAGACAAGUGCCCUGGCCAUGGGAGAGCAGAGUGGUUAGAGGCAACUGCUCUGGCCAUGCAAUGGAGCUGGUGGUUCUUCCCCAAGGUAACCUCUGCUCUUUUAGAGAAAGGUCUUGAAGUGGGAAUUCCCAGCCUCAUAGACCAGGCCUUUUUCAUGGAACCUCUAGCCAUAGGUUUUCCCUUCCUUCUUUUAAUUCUCAGACGCUCUGUGCAUGUUGGUGCCAUAACUCCAAACAGCUACAUGCAAGGUAUUGCAAACAGUGUAUUUUAAGUUCCUUAGGGACAGGAGGAAUUAUGUUUUAUUUAUAUAUGUGUAUAUAUACAUACAUAUCUGCUAUAUAUAUGCUAUAUAUGUAUAUAUAUGUUUUAAAUAUACACAUUUGUAUGUGUGCCUGUGUGUGUGUGUGUGUGUGUGUGUGUGUGUGUGUGUGUGUGUGUGUGUGAUAAAUUGCUUUGUUGAGUCCAGUCCUUCGGUAAAUGAAUAAAUUUCAAAAUUAUUUUUUCUAGAUCAUUCCUCCUUCAGCAUAUAAUGUGGAAGUUAGUGGCAAGUUAAAUACUCUUUCUUUCAAAAUGUGAAAAUAAUUUCCUUAAACAAUCUACUCGAAACUAUCUUGAACUAUAAAGAAAAGGAAGCCUGGGAAGUUGUUUCGAAACGGCAAAGCCUUUAAGAGUCAAUGUCACAUUUAUUGCUAUAAAAUAUUUUUCUCUCUCUGUUAGACAUCUGGAUCCCAUUACGUACAGUAUUGGGUACUUGAGUUCAGCAGCCAUUUUGCAUACUAAGCAGGGUGCACACAAAAUCCCCACAGACAUCACCAGUACACAUUUGCUCCGUGUGAUUCUUACUUUACAUUCACAGGCGACUCCCCUCUCACCGACUCAGUGCUUACCGUUAACAUUUUUUGAAGUUCUUUUUUUCCUCACUUAUCUGAAGGACCAAGUUCUGUAUAUUUGAAAGAUAAAGAGUGUCAAAUUCAUGGUGCCUUUUGCUUUCUGUCUUGUAUGGGCCAACUCUCUAUAAUCUGGUGCCGAAGUCAAGGAAACAGCUAGAUCUUAAAGUCUAUCUUCACUAGUAACGCUGACCCAGAAAUGAGAAACACAAUAUGGAAUGUUUGCUAAUGAGUCAUGAAUUUUCUUAUAAUUGCUUCCACAUUCAGGAUAGUUCCCUUAAACCAUGUAAUCUCGACAUAUCCUCAAACAAUCCCAUGUGUUGUAAAUGAUUUUGUUUUAUUUCUUGGGUUACUGUUAAGGGCUUAUUUUCUGGUUCAUUUCAUUUUCUUAAAGAAAACCACAUACUCAUGUGCUUUUAUACACAUGCAACAAGGGAAACAUACAUGCUCCUGUGAUUUCUUUUUUUGCCUCAGUUUCCACCUAUGGUCUGGAAAUCAAAAUAAUCACAUCGGUGAAGACUAUAUUCGGGUCCCAACUCAAGCCUGUGAGAACUAGAGCUAGCGCCGAGCGAUGCAUCAGCCAACGGGCGUCUGCCCCUUUGCUAGGCUUCGGUAUCCAUAGUGGGAGAGACAGAUACAAGCAGCCUUCAGUACAGUAAUAAUGGAGAAUUAAAUACGACUUUUAAAAACUGCUCACAUUAUAAAGUGAUCUAUUAGCAUUAUGUGACUGGAGCACUUAACGUGACUGAUUCUAAUUGCAAGACUUGGCCCACAGCAAGCGUUAAAGAGCUGCAAGGGUGUGAAGGCAUUUCAUCUCUUUGGAGAUAUUUUUAAGUGGGUUUUCUUCGGAAUAAAGCUUCAUUCCUGCUGCACAAAGGUUGUGUGGAUGGAAUCUCUCAGCUCAGAUGGAAUCAGGGGUAAUUAUCGUUUCUUCUUUGAUUCAGUCAAUCAAUAAACCGAGGAACAGCAGCGUCUUUGCACGCAUCCUCCUUUGCAUUCAGAGCUCACGAAUGUCAUGCAGAGGAUGCAGGGCUUGAUGCCCACCCCUGAUGAGCUUUACCAGGGAGUAGAAAGAUUCUCUUAUAAGUCUGUUUCCGUAAAACCAUCUUUGAGCCAUGAUGGUGGGUCUGUGAGAUGAAACUAUUCUGUAACAUCUUGAACUGAGCCUAAAAUGCAUAGGUUAUCACAACAGUGGGGAUCCUGGGUACACACACACACACACACACACACACACACACACACACACACACACACACAGACUCUAGGUAUACCUAAUAAGGAGUUUACAGGUUUCAGAAAAAGUAGGAAAAGAGAGGAAUGCCAUUCAGCCUUGGGUGGAAUUGUAAUUUGUUUAUGCUACUUAGGGUUUUUAGUUAGUUUGUUUUUGCUUUCGUCCCAUCAAAGACAGACGUUCUAUUAACUAUACACCAUUGGAAACCGUAGAUGUGGUACUGAAGGCAUCCUUGUUGAAUGCCCACGUUUAAGUAGGUUAAGCUUUGCUGGAAUAGUUCCUUGAUCGGCAUGCAUAGGGAUUUCCGGUUGGUGGUUUUCAGAUCUCCCAGCUAAUGAAAAAAAUCGCCAGACUAUACUUCCCAAAUUUAAAGUGAUGACCCACAUAGUUAUCCAAGUAGCCAACAGCAAGCUUUUGAAUAAUUGAUUAAAAACCCCAGUGAAACUGUUAGGCUGUGGAUUUCAACUUUAUGUUAAAUGCAUUGUCCUGAGCAGUAAACCCAGGGCCUUAGGCAUGCUCGGCAAGUGUUCAACCGUCCAGCUACAGUUCCAAUCAGCAACCUUGUGUAUUGAAAAGGUCUACUUUUUAAAAAUUAACAUUAUUUUGCAAAGGGCAGCACCUGGUAGAAAGACAUUUAAAGGCAGUCAGACUUACUGCCAAGUGGUUUUUGGUUUUGUUUUCAUGUAAAGGUUUUGUUAAUUGAUCCUUGUAGCUUCUAAGUGUUUUUUGGGUUCCCAAACCUUGAAUCUGCAGAAUGGAGUGGACAUGCAUGUCAUUGACCUGGAUUAGGAGAGCAGGCAAUGAGAAGAGGAUCAGAACCAUUGGCACUUUGUUAACAGAAACACCAUUUUAAGGAUAUCCUCGAAUUGGGCAAAAAUAAUGCUUCUUCCUCUUAAAUGCCAACAAUGUGAAGAAUGCAAUGUGAAGAAUGGUGGCCAGCAUCUGGCCACUGCUUUUCUCACAUAGAGUCUAAUAUGAAUAAAUAAGUCUAAAAAUUGCUUGUUUGAAGGGGGCAAAAUGGCUUGCUGGGGGAAAUGUAUGAUGAACAAAUGUGAGAUCCCAGUCUGAAUCCCUGGAACCCACAUAAAUCUGGUCACGGUAUCCCAUCUGUAAUCCCAUGACUCUGACAAUGAAAUGGGAGCUGGGGAAUUUUUGGAAGCUCAUGGGUGAGCUAUCCUGGUAUACUCAGAGGUGAAUGAAAACAGACCUUGUUUCACAUGAGGUAGGAGGCAAGGACCAACAUCCAAGAUUAUUGUCUGACCUCCCCAUAUGUACCUUGGAGUACUUCACAUGCACAUGCACGCACACACACACACACACACACACACACACACACACACACAUAUCCCAUAUACAUGAAUAUAUAUAUCCCACAUACAUAAGACUAUUUUAUUGAUUUAUACAUAAGACUGAUUUAUUGAUAGUGGUGGUGUGAAUGAGAAGCAGGGCCUUGUGCAUGGUGCUCCUUAGACCCGAUGCACCAACAGGAAGAGCAUCUCUCAUCAGUGAAUAUUGGCAGUGUGCAGGAUUUUUCAAUGUUGUGGUUUUAUGCAUCUUGUGGUGGGCUAAUGAGGCAGUGCUGGUCCCAUUAAAGCAGAUCUUUUAUGUUUUGUUAUUUCAAUAAACUUAAAAGACUUGCAUUAACAACCAACCAUGGAAAAGCCCCUUUGACAAACAUGUGAUACAGGGAUGAAAAUGGGGAUGAUUCCUUCCAGAAACUCACAGGGAAGGGUAGGAAGAAGCCACAACUGAAACAGAAGGUCACGUAUCAUAGCACACACCCAACAAAUCACACACAUGCACUUCUCCAAGUGCUGGGUGCUAUGUUCAGUCAUUAAGGGUAGAAUUGGAAAAUGAGAUGAGGGCUACUUUCCUUUCUUCUUCAUUUCCCUUUUCCCCACGGAUUCAUGGCCAAGUGGAGUGCAGGAGGGGUCAAGACUGUGAAGAGGCAACGUCAACCACACACGGUCAUAGGAAGCUUGGAUUCUGAGUGGGUACCUAGUAGUCAGAUAAAAGGCUGUGAGAAAGUGACUAAGGGGCAUGGCAUGUGCUCAAAGUGAGUGUGUAAGGAUAUAGAAAAUAAUGAGAUCUUAGGCUCCAUCUAGUCCCAUGGUUCUCAACCUGGGGGUCACGACUCCUUUGGGGGGUGUGUCACAGACCCGUUCACAGGGGUCAUCUAAAACCAUCAAAAACACAAAUGUUUACAUCACAGUCCGUAACAGGAGCAAAGUUGCAGUAAUGAAAAUAGUUUUAUGGUUGGGGGGGGUCACCACAAUGUGAGAGACUGUAUUAAAGGGCCACAGUAUUGGGAAGGUUGGGGACCAUUGACCUAGUCCAUUUCCGAAGCUCCUCUCUAGCAGAAGUGAACUUCUGCAUUGUCUCCGAUGGCUUUCAGUCACAAGGGCAUCUGUUCUUUCCCAGAUCAGACUCAACAGCUCUUCGACUUUAUGCCUGAUAUCACAUCUUCUAUUCUGGGCUGACAGGCCUGGUGCUAGGUUCACCCAAGCCCUGGCAAGCAACAGGCCUGCUUUACAGCACUCUUCAUCUCGAUCUCACCUUAUUCCUCUCUACUACCAGGUCCUGGAGGUCUAGUCCUGCUGUCCUCCUAAUAGUGCUCCUUUAUUCUUCCAGGCUGCUACCUACUUACCUGGACCUGUGCACAUUACGGUCUCAUAAAUGCCUUUCCCUUCAGCAUGCCUCCAUCUCUACUUUCACUCUUCUGACUUGUCUUGUAUAAAUAUUCUAUACAGAAGCACUUGUUUAAAUUAACAUUCCACCUUGAGUCCUACUAUACUGUUGCUACAUUUUGUGUACAAACUAUAGCACACUGUUUCACACUCACUGUUGUGAACAUAGAAUGCUUGUCUCUAAACUGAAAGUCCCAAGGAGUGUGGCAUGAUGUCCAUCUUUUGUAAGGGUUUUCUAGAGAAGCAUAACUGACAUGGGCUGUGGUCUAGCUAGUCCAACAAUGGUUUUUACUAAUAGAAAAUCUAGAAAUCCAGUAAUUGUACAGUCCACAGGACUUGGAUGUCUAUGCUAUUCUUUAGCAUUUGUCAAAUUCCUGAAAAAGUAGGCCCAUGAAGGAAGAAACUUGCCAGAGAGAGUGAAGGCAAACAGAAAGUCUCCUUUUUCCAUAUCCUUUAUGUAGGCUGCCAUUAGAAGGUGUGGCUCAGAUGUAAGGUGGAUCUUUCCACUUCUAAAUAUUCCAAGUAAGGGUGAGUCCUCUCAGCUCAAGGAAAAGUCUCUCAGAGAUGUACCCAGUCACUUGAGUUUUAGUUUAUUUCCCAUGUAGUAGAAUUGACAACCAAGAAUAACCAGCACAGUAGAUAAUCUACAAUACACUGUUGAAUGUAUGAUUGAGAAAUCUAAAGAAACAUGCCUCGUUAUUACUGUAAGGUACAGUAUUCUAAGUAUUGUAAGGUUUCCUCUGAUCUCAGGCAAUACUUAUAUACUAUUCUGACCUCAUUUGUUACAAAUUUAUCUCUGGGGUAUUGUUCUCAACUUGUUCAGGUAUCAUGAUUCUCAUAGGGAAUUGUGGCUUAUUGAUUUUCUUAUCCCAGUCAUUUCUACUUUGGAUGUAUUAUCUCAAGACCCUUCCAAAAUGGAGCCAACCAUUUAUUGAGUGCCUGACUCUGGUUGAAGCUGUUGCCAUUCCUUUGCCAGGAUCACUGCAUAGCUGCUUUGCUAAGAGCUCUAAGGAUGGCUACUGGCACACUGGCAGCCCUAAACAUGGGAGGGUCAUUGAAGCAGACAGGUCCAGCAUAUCCUUGAAAAAUAUAUGUGAAGUCAUCAUGACUUCAGGAAGGGAAAGAACACUGAUGGAAUGAAGGAGACUUGUAGAUAGAGAUGAUAAAAGAUGGUGUUUAGGACAAGGAUAAGGAGACAUCUCUGAAAACAAGUGAUCUCUGAGCUGACUUCAUUGGUGAUGAGGACUGAGUCACUUACAGGGGAAUAUGGGACACAGGGCACAGUGAGGCUGGCAGCAAUGUUUGAUGAAAAGACUCCGUCAGGCUUCUGGCCAUACAGAUUCACAUUACUUGGAACAUCUAAUUUCUUAAUUGUGGAAGGAAUUAUCAUCCUCGUGACCCUCAAAUACGAAUUGGCUAUAUAAUGGCUUUUGGCUUUCAGUUCUGCAUCUGAGGUGCACCCGUUCUAAGUGUGUGUUUAGAACACACCAUAAGUUUCCUAUCUGAAAUAUAAGUGGAUAGCUAGCAGUACAGCGGGAUUUGCGACUUUCUAGUUUUUUUUGAAGUAUCUCUGUAUGUGCGCAUUCAUGUGUGCAACACGUAUAUGUACAUGUAUGCCCAUGUACGCAUGUAUGUGUUCAAGUGUACAUGUAUUUGCAUGUACAUAUGCACAUCUUAAUUUCACUCAUUAACAUUGGCCACAUGUACAUUAGGAUCAUGAGAUUUACUCAUACUGAGAACUGUGCCAUUCUGCCCAGAGAGCAUCCACCUAGGAAAGAGACAGCAGAGCACUCCAGAGAGGGCCAGGAUCUCGGAGUUGCCAAUCUGAGGAUAAGGCUUGCCUUUCCACUGACUAGUGUGUCGCUUUGGGCAAGUCACACCACCUUUCUGAUUUUCAGUUUGCUGCUCUUACUUUUAGAUAAUAACAAAAUUGUUAGAGGCUUGCUAAUGCAGACUUAUAAUUCCAGCUACCCAGGAUACUGAGGCAGAAAGAUCUGAAGUUGCAGAGUAAUGCUUGAUCUGUCCAACAACCAACCAACCAACCAACCAACCAACCAACCAACCAACCAACCAACUGAACGAAUGAACAGCAAAUUAAACAAGGGCGAACCAGAAGGGUUACCACAAACCUGAGACUAUUCUGAGCUAAGUAAGAAGUACCUGAAUAGUUAGGCUCUAUAGAUAGUCAGGCCCUGUCUAAAAAUGCAUAUGGAAAGUAGUUUUUUUUUAAAAAAAAGACCCAAACAACUGCUCUCAGAAAAUAGCACAUCUAAUACUAUUAAAAUGGUUGAGGUCAUUUUCUCAAUUGUGAAAAUAACUUCCUAGAAGUUCAAAUAGGAUUCAUUUUGUGAAGACAAGGAUGAGAUUUUUUUCCAUAUAAUAUCAGUCCAGUAAGUAAUCCAAACUGGGUCAGUGCUGACUGACAGGGAACUAAAAUGUGCGUUUGAAAUACAGUCACCAUAAAUCUAAAUUACUGAGACCAAGACAUUUUUUUCCUUUUCUCCUUCAUUUAUUAAUUUCCUUGCUAUUUUUUCCUUGGGUCAUAUCUAUUUUAGUUUAUUAUCAUGUUUUUAGAAGUUAUCUCUGGCAUGAAAGUGACUGUAUAGACCAGACUGGUCACAGAGAUCUAUUUAUUUCUUCUGACACAGUGUUGGGACCAAAGGUAUAUGCUAUCACACCCAGCAAAGGAAUGUAGGGAAUGUUCUUUUCCUUUCAAAAUCUUUAUAAUCUCCUCAAAAAUAAAAAGAAACAAGAAAGGAUUGAAUACAAAGAAGGCUCCAAAUAGUGUUGGGCAUGCUCUACUGCAAGGAACUAGUUGGGUAUCUACUUGAAGCUUCUGCCUCCUGAUGCUUGUAGGAAGCCGAACAAUGUUUUCUUGCUAUCAGAGGCUUGGAAAACACUUUUGGAUUUUGAAAGAGACAAGACUUCUUUUGAAAUGGGGGUGUAUAAUUCACUAAAAAAAUUACAAGUUCCCAUCCAAUAUUAGAGACCCUCCCACAGCCAACUGGGAAGAUGAAGGUCACAACACAGUCCACCUGUAUCCUGCUUGCCACAGUCACCUCUCCAUGCUUCAUGCCUUCACUAUGCUGAGUAUUGGCAUGUCUGUUCUGGUUUGCAUUUAUUCAUAGCAGCCCCCAUGACCAGGUGCCACUUCUAUGUCAGAAUAAUGCUUUCCACAGCAACUGGGGAGUUUCCUUAUCUUGAAUGGUAAGAUGGUUACUUUGGAAGGUCAACUUGCCACAAUUUGGAACCAUCUGAAGGGAGAGUUCAGUUGAGGAAUUAUCUUAAUUAAGUUAGGCUCCGUGCAUUUCUGUGAGGAACUAUCUUGACUAUAAAUUAAUACACGAAGACUUAAUCCACUGUGGGUGGCACCAUUCCCUAGGUGAACAGAUCCUGAACCAUAUAGGACAGGAACAUUUUUGAUGAAAGCAAACAAGCAAGCAGGCAACACGGGCACCUGUCCUUUGCUUUUGAAUGUAGCUGUUGUGGGACUAAUAGCUUUGCCUUGCCUUCCUCUCAGGGAUGGACUCCAACAUGUAACUGUAAGCCCCAGAAACCCUCUCCACCCCUAAGCUACUUUUUGUCAAUGCAUUUGUCACUGCAGCAGAAAUGAAAUUAGAAAAAGUCCUUUACAUGGAGGUUCACCCACAGAGGUUGCUUAACUCAGGCUCAGAAAGCACACACUGUAUCUUUAAGAAAUAGUUUACUUGUGAAUCAGUAAACGUACUAGACAAAGCAGCCAUUACUUAUGCAUUCUUGCAUACCCGGCAAGGUGAAAAUAAUAGAAUAAACAUCAUAUACUUCAUUAUGAUAUCGGUUUACACUUCCAGGGUAUACAAAAAGAGGCCAUUUCAUCAAGCUAAUUGCCUGAAAGUAAAAGAGAGAGAACUUUGGCUAUUAGUCUAUUAUGGGGCUUUUUUCUUAAUCACAAAUAGGGGCCGUGUGUCCCUGGGGGGAUGUGUAUUCUAAUUUACAAUUGAACUACAGAUCAGAGCAAUCAAUCUUGGGCAGCACUUUCACUGUGUAAUUGCUGCAACAUAACAAAUAAUAAUAAUAUAAAAAAAAGCCAAAGAAAGAAAAGAAGAAGAAGAAGGCUGGAGCUCAGCUUCUGCUCGAGGUAGAGAUAUUUCCAGGCACUAGUUCAGAGAGGGAGGGGGAGAACUGCCAUGUCCAUGAAUAUACAAUGAGGGCUCAUUAGCAGCCUAGUGUUGCCAUGACGAAUGGCAUUAUCCCCGGCCUGGUGCUGCCUAAACAUGAAUUUUAUAAGGACUCAUUUAUCAUGACUUGUCAUGGGCUUCUCUACAGUUCUUUCUCCAGCUCACACACCUUUCCCUAUUAUAGCACUAGAAAAUCUUUCCUUAUUAUUAUUGUUUCCUUUUGUAUUGAUUUCUGGCACUUUGAAGCAAGUGUUCAAAUAUAGUAACAUACUAAUGAGAGAUUUGUGACUUCAAAGUUGGAGAACUAAAACUUGAUUAUUCUCACAUCUUUGGUGUAGUUGUGGGGUAGAGAAGAAAGUUAGGCUACACAUUGGAAGAAAUUUCCCAAUGUGUGAGGCUUUUUGAAAACAACAACAAUAACAACAGCAACAACAUCCCCCCGAAACCCAAUCCUUUUUUAAUGCC